GACGAACGCUGGCGGCGUGCCUAAUACAUGCAAGUCGAGCGAAGCGGGGACGGGUGAGUAACACGUAAGGAACCUCCGAUAAGCGGGGGACAACAUCCGGAAACGGGUGCUAAAACGCAAACUUAUCGAUGGCCUGCGUGCAUUAGCUCGUGGGGGGGGUAACGGCCUACCAGGCAAUGAUGCAUAGCCGACCGAGAGGGUAAUCGGCCACAUUGGGCCUGGGCCACGGCCCAAACUCCUACGGGAGGCAGCAGUAGGGAAUCGUCCGCAAUGGGCGCAAGCCGGACGGAGCAACGCCGCGUGAGUGAAGAAGGUUUUCGGAUCGUAAAGCUCUGUUGUAAGAGAAGCGGUAUCUUACCAGAAAGCCACGGCUAACUACGUGCCAGCAGCCGCGGUAAUUC
rnacentral:rRNA from 1 species